CAACAGAGGGGGACAUUAUAUGGAAGUAAAACAGUGUCAACAGAUUUUGAAUUUUAAAAGCACUUGAAUAAUUAGCACUGAAUUAUUUUACAUUGAAUUAUUGCAUGUGAUUUUUUUUGCCUCUGAAUUAAACACUUUAAUUUUUCAGUAUAUCAUUUUCACUUAUUUUAUUUUAAUGUAAAAAAAUUCAAAAGCAAAAAUUCAAGUUUUAAAAAUUCAAUUAAAAUAAAUUCAGGUUGCUCAAAUUCGACUGCUAAAAUACAACGCUCAAAAUUCGCUGUAAACAUCCGGGACACACAGGAUGAGCAAUCGAUUCAGUCUUCAAUCGAGCCAACAACCAGCCAAUCACAUCACGCUCCGAAGAUCACGUGACAGGUAGCGCCUCACGGCUCAGAGCCGCUCAACGCGAGUCACAGCCCCCUCCGCUGCUCCUCUCGAGUAGGAUAUUUUCUCGCAGAAAAAGAAAGGAUAAUAAAAGGUUUCCUUUCUCCAAACUUUUAAAGAACAAAUAAAGAAAUCCAAUUUCAUGCA